rnacentral:rRNA from 1 species
GAUGAACGCUGACAGAAUGCUUAACACAUGCAAGUCUACUUGAAUUUGGGUUUUUUAACUUAGAUUUGGGUGGCGGACGGGUGAGUAACGCGUAAAGAACUUGCCUCACAGCUAGGGACAACAUUUGGAAACGAAUGCUAAUACCUGAUAUUAUGAUUAUAAGGCAUCUUAGAAUUAUGAAAGCUAUAUGCGCUGUGAGAGAGCUUUGCGUCCCAUUAGCUAGUUGGAGAGGUAACGGCUCACCAAGGCGAUGAUGGGUAGCCGGCCUGAGAGGGUGAACGGCCACACGGGGACUGAGACACGGCCCUUACUCCUACGGGAGGCAGGAGUGGGGAAUAUUGGACAAUGGACCAAGAGUCUGAUCCAGCAAUUCUGUGUGCACGAUGACGUUUUUCGGAAUGUAAAGUGCUUUCAGUUGGGAAGAAAAAAAUGACGGUACCAACAGAAGAAGUGACGGCUAAAUACGUG